rnacentral:rRNA from 1 species
CGCACCUUCGGGUGAGCGGCGGACGGGUUAGUAACGCGUGGGAACAUACCCUUUUCUACGGAAUAGCCUCGGGAAACUGAGAGUAAUACCGUAUAAGCCCUUCGGGGGAAAGAUUUAUCGGGAAAGGAUUGGCCCGCGUUAGAUUAGAUAGUUGGUGGGGUAAUGGCCUACCAAGUCUACGAUCUAUAGCUGGUUUUAGAGGAUGAUCAGCAACACUGGGACUGAGACACGGCCCAGACUCCUACGGGAGGCAGCAGUGGGGAAUCUUAGACAAUGGGCGCAAGCCUGAUCUAGCCAUGCCGCGUGUGUGAUGAAGGUCUUAGGAUCGUAAAGCACUUUCGCCAGGGAUGAUAAUGACAGUACCUGGUAAAGAAACCCCGGCUAACUCCGUGCCAGCAGCCGCGGUAAUACGGAGGGGGUUAGCGUUGUUCGGAAUUACUGGGCGUAAAGCGUACGUAGGCGGAUUGGAAAGUUGGGGGUGAAAUCCCAGGGCUCAACCCUGGAACUGCCUCCAAAACUAUCAGUCUAGAGUUCGAGAGAGGUGAGUGGAAUUCCAAGUGUAGAGGUGAAAUUCGUAGAUAUUUGGAGGAACACCAGUGGCGAAGGCGGCUCACUGGCUCGAUACUGACGCUGAGGUACGAAGGCCAGGGGAGCGAAAGGGAUUAGAUACCCCUGUAGUCCUGGCCGUAAACGAUGAACACUAGGUGUCGGGGGAAUCGACCCCCUCGGUGUCGUAGCCAACGCGUUAAGUGUUCCGCCUGGGGAGUACGCACGCAAGUGUGAAACUCAAAGGAAUUGACGGGGGCCCGCACAAGCGGUGGAGUAUGUGGUUUAAUUCGAUGCAACGCGAAGAACCUUACCAGGGUUUGACAUCCUGCGAAUCUCUUGUAACAGGAGAGUGCCUUCGGGAACGCAGUGACAGUGUGCAUGCUGUCGUCAGCUCGUGUCGUGAGAUGUGGUAGUCCCGCACGAGCGCACCACGUCUUAGUGCAGCAUUAGUGGGCACUCUAGAGAGACUGCGUGAUAACGGAGAGGUGUGAUGACGUCAGUCAUCAUGCCCUUACAUCAUGGCUACACACGUACUACAAUGCUACGGACAAAGGGAGCAGGUUCCGAGGACAGCAAAUUCCUUCACUGGCUCGGUCCAUCGUAGGGUGCAACUCCCCUCACUGAGGGGGGAGUCCUAUUAAUCCAGGGCACAAUUCCGGGGAAGACAUUCCGCGCCGGUGUUGUACAUAGAGCGGCUCA